UCUGAAGUGUUGUGACGGGCUGUCUUGACAGGAGGGCGCCAUUUCGUGUUUACACACUUGAUCAGUGAGCAAACCAUCGUUGCUCUCUGCUCUUACGUUUUUACCUCAGAAUAAGGACUUGUUCUUCACUGAUUUGGCAUGUGCCAGAAUGUGCGGGAGAACGGCUUGCACCCUUGCGGCGAAUGAGCUCAGUCGUGCGGCUAACUAUCGAGACCGGACGGGACAACGACACCGGCCCCGAUGGAAGGAUGGAGACAAAUACUGGCCCUCAUACAACAAGAGUCCUCAGUCCUUCAGCCCUGUACUGCUGUCCAACAGACACUUCAACAAG